UACAGAGGGUGCGAGCGUUAAUCGGAAUUACUGGGCGUAAAGCGCGCGUAGGCGGCUUGCAAGUCGGGUGUGAAAUCCCCAGGCUUAACCUGGGAACUGCAUUCGAGACUGCAUUGCUAGAGUAUGGGAGAGGGAAGCGGAAUUUCAGGUGUAGCGGUGAAAUGCGCAGAUAUCAGGAGGAACACCGAUGGCGAAGGCAGGUCUCUGGGCAUUAACUGACGCUGAGGAGCGAAAGCAUGGGGAGCGAACAGG
rnacentral:rRNA from 1 species